UGGAGCAGUGGUAGCUCGUCGGGCUCAUAACCCGAAGGUCAUCAGUUCGAGUCUGGU
rnacentral:tRNA from 1 species